AGCGGGGUACGCGACUGGCGAUAGGCGCGACCCCCGCAACGGGUGUCGCCGCUGACGUGGAAACCAGCAAGAGCCUGCCUCUUGUGAACCACUGGGGAGCGUGCCGCAAAGGUCUUUAUCUGCGCGUUCAGCCGUUCGCCUGGGCAGCCCUU
rnacentral:ncRNA from 2 species